UACGCACGCUGGCGGCGUGCUUAACACAUGCAAGUCGAACGAAGAGUGAUGGAAGCUUGCUUCUAUCAAUCUUAGUGGCGAACGGGUGAGUAACGCGUAAUCAACCUGCCCUUCAGAGGGGGACAACAGUUGGAAACGACUGCUAAUACCGCAUACGAUCUAAUCUCGGCAUCGAGGAUAGAUGAAAGGUGGCCUCUAUGUAUAAGCUAUCACUGAAGGAGGGGAUUGCGUCUGAUUAGCUAGUUGGAGGGGUAACGGCCCACCAAGGCGAUGAUCAGUAGCCGGUCUGAGAGGAUGAACGGCCACAUUGGGACUGAGACACGGCCCAGACUCCUACGGGAGGCAGCAGUGGGGAAUCUUCCGCAAUGGACGAAAGUCUGACGGAGCAACGCCGCGUGAGUGAUGACGGCCGUCGGGUUGUAAAGCUCUGUUAAUCGGGACGAAAGGCCUUCUUGCGAAUAGUGAGAAGGAUUGACGGUACCGGAAUAGAAAGCCACGGCUAACUACGUG
rnacentral:rRNA from 1 species